CAUCACACACUAUAUUGCUGUUACCAUAGUCCUUUCUGGGAUAUAUAUUAUUGUGUAUAUAAUGGGAUUUUAUAAUGCACAAUAAUACUUUACUUCAAAAUAGUCCAAUAGAAGGAAGAGUAGACAAGACUGACUUGUGAUGAUAAUGAUUGAAACUAGUAGAUUAAAUUCACGGGAAUUUAUUGCAAUGUUUUAUUUUUAUUUUUUCCUUCCUUCCUUCCUUCCUUCCUUCCUUCCUUUCUUCCUUCCUUUCCUUCUUUCUCUUGAGUUAGGUCUCAUGUUGCCCAGGCUAGCCUCCAUCUCUGGAUGUGUGGAAGGAUGAUCUUAAAUUUCAGAUCCUCCCACUUCUACCUCUCGAGUGUUGGAGUUACAGCCAUGUACUGCCAUAGUUGGUUACACAGUGAUGGGGAAUCAAACCAGAGCCUGAUGCACGCUGGAUAUGCACUCUACAGCCAAGGUGAAGUUAAAAUGAAGCACUUAGGGUAGAUCCUAGUCCAGGGCCUUGGGAAUCCAGACAAACACAAAAGGGUGAAGACACAGAAAUCAGACAAGUAAGUACAAGGCAAGGAGAAAGUUCUGGAACAGAUCAUCACUCUCAAGCCUCAGACGUGCACAGACUCUCAGCUUUCCAGCAUCUAUCACCCCCAAAAUGGGAAACUUCUGCCCUUGGCUGCACUUUGUUGCAACAGACCUGGCAGAAGUCCAAACAAGACAAAAAGCUGAUUCUGCAGCCUACCCCUGCCUGCCAGCUGAUCGGCCUUGUUCAAGCUGGAGAACCUCUGGAGAGUCCAGCUCUGUAUGGGGUUCUUUCUUCCGAGCAAACCCUUAAGCUGUGGGAGGGCUGGAUCUGUGUGAUCUGACCUGUACCUGUCCCGGGCUUCCUUGCAGCUCCCCUGAGACAGCUUUUCCCUGUGAAGCUAGCCAGCAACUCCCAUCAGUAGCAGGCAAGAAUCCCAGGACUCACUCGACGAACCAGCCUCGUCUGGCUGGAUUCUUGAAGAACAUAUGGAGUCACCCUAUUCCCCUAUAGCAGCUUCAACUCUCAGGUUCUCUUUCUUGUAGCCCAUCUCCUGGGUCCUCGGUGGUCCCUGGGGGUCCCCGGCAAGAGGCAGGUUGUUUAGGCCAGCCAGAUACCACUUAAAGAGACCCAAUUCAAAACAUAACCGUGUGCGACUCAACUUACGGUCAGGCUCUGAAUCUACAAGAAUUUCAUAAACAAGUAACAUUUAAAAAAAUGGUUAUCGAUGAAGGAAAAAAAGAACCUGAAGAAAUCAGAUGAUGUGAGGGAGGUUUAGGCAAGACCUUUCAGGUACAGUGUGUUCUAAAAUUUGACUUUUGAAUUGUAGAAAUAAAUGACCUAUUAAAAUAAAAUUUUAAUUUAAAAUGUGCUCUCUACUUAAG
rnacentral:lncRNA from 1 species